rnacentral:pre_miRNA from 1 species
CGUGCACCGGUGGGGUCCCUUGGCCUGGCCUGCGCCCACUCACAAUCCAGGACCCCUCGGGGGAUGUCAGAGAGCUGGUUUCGGCCCCAUCCCGCAGGCCAGGCCGAGGGACCCCACCGGUGCACG